rnacentral:tRNA from 3 species
GGGGUCGUGGGGUAGCCUGGUAUCCUAGGGCGUUCGGGAUGCUCUGACCUGAGUUCGAAUCUCAGCGACCCCA